rnacentral:lncRNA from 1 species
GGAGAAAGACAUUACUCCCAUUGGUGGCUUCCCUCACUAUGGUGUGGUGAAGGAUGAUUACAUUCUGAUUAAGGGAUGCUGCGUUGGACCCAAGAAGAGGGUUGUUACUCUUCGCCAGUCCCUGCUCAAGCAGACCUCUCGUCUUGCUCUUGAGGAUAUUAAACUCAAGUUCAUCGAUACCUCUUCAAAAUUCGGGCACGGUCGCUUCCAGACAACACAGGAGAAACAGAAGUACUAUGGUCGCCUCAAGGCAUAAGUAUGAGAGAAACUGCCCAAGAGUUUUCAGCUAUCAAAUUAUUAGUCAACUUUUUAGUUUCUAUGCCAGUGAC